rnacentral:rRNA from 1 species
CGCGUGGGGUAAUCUCCCCCCGAAUUGGGGAUAACAUUGCGAAAGCGAUGCUAAUACCGGAUAAUAUCUAAAGUACCCCGGUACUUAAGAUCAAAGGUGGCCUCUACAUGUAAGCUAUUGUUUGGGGAUGAGCCCGCGUACCAUUAGCUUGUUGGUAGGGUAACGGCCUACCAAGGCUGCGAUGGUCAGCUGGUCUGAGAGGAUGAUCGGCCACACUGGAACUGACACACGGUCCAG